ensembl:snoRNA
CUGCUUUUGUAGUUCAUGAGCAUGGUGAUUGGGUGUUCAUGCAGGUGUGUGAGAUAUGCCACCCUUGAACCUUGUUACAACACUGGCACAUUCUCAGACCUGAAA